rnacentral:lncRNA from 1 species
CGACCCGGCUUCACCAGCCUUAGUAGUAAACAAACUGUGGUGAGGUUUAGACGCUUCGGUAGGAAGAAGGAAAGAAUCAGCACUCAUACAUUCAUCAAAGACGAAAGUACCAUUUCCUCUGAGAGACAGUGA